UUCCGGUUGAUCCCGCCGGACCUUACUGCUAUCGGGGUGGGACUAAGACAUGCGAGUCGAGCGUCUCUAGCUAUGUUGAGACGCGGCAUACGGCUCAGUAACACGUGGCUAACCUACCCUCAGGACGGGGACAAACCCGGGAAACUGGGGCUAAUAUCCGAUAGGCGAGGAAUCCUGGAAUGGUUCUUCACCCAAAGGACAUUGGAAACAUGCUUUCUCUGUCGCCUGGGGAUGGGGCCGCGUCCGAUCAGGUUGUUGGUGAGGUAAUGGCUCACCAAGCCUUUAACCGGUACGGGCCGUGAGAGCGGUAGCCCGGAGAUGGGUACUGAGACAAGGACCCAGGCCCUACGGGGCGCGGCAGUCGCGAAAACUCCGCAAUGCACGAAAGUGUGACGGGGCUACCCCGAGUGCCGUCCGCUGAGGAUGGCUUUUCCUUGGUGUAACUAGCCGGGGGAAUAAGGAGAGGGCAAGACUGGUGUCAGCCGCCGCGGUAAUACCAGCUCUCCGAGUGGUAGGGAUGAUUAUUGGGCUUAAAGCGUCCGUAGCCGGCUUAGCAAGUUUCCUGUUAAAUUCAGCGACCUAAUCGUUGAGCCGCGGGAAAUACUACUAGGCUAGGAGGCGGGAGAGGUCGACGGUACUUCUGGGGUAGGGGUGAAAUCCUAUAAUCCCGGGAGGACCACCAGUGGCGAAGGCUGUCGACUAGAACGCGCUCGACGGUGAAGGACGAAAGCUGGGGGAGCGAACCGGAUUAGAUACCCGGGUAGUCCCAGCUGUAAACGAUGCGGGCUAGGUGUUGGGGUGGCUACGUGCCACUUCAGUGCCGCAGGGAAGCCAUUAAGCCCGCCGCCUGGGGAGUACGGCCGCAAGGCUGAAACUUAAAGGAAUUGGCGGGGGAGCACCACAAGGCGUGAAGCUUGCGGUUCAAUUGGAGUCAACGCCGGA
rnacentral:rRNA from 1 species